GAUGAACGCUGACAGAAUGCUUAACACAUGCAAGUCGACUGUGGCGGACGGGUGAGUAACGCGUAAAGAACUUGCCUCAUAGUCUGGGACAACAUUUGGAAACGGAUGCUAAUACCGGAUACUAUGAGAGAGCUUUGCGUCCCAUUAGCUAGUUGGUGAGGUAACGGCCCACCAAGGCGAUGAUGGGUAGCCGGCCUGAGAGGGUGAACGGCCACAAGGGGAUUGAGACACGGCCCUUACUCCUACGGGAGGCAGCAGUGGGGAAUAUUGGACAAUGGACCAAAGUCUGAUCCAGCAAUUCUGUGUGCACGAUGACGUUUUCGGAAUGUAAAGUGCUUUCAGUCGGGAAGCGGUACCGACAGAAGAAGCGACGGCUAAAUACGUGCCAGCAGCCGCGGUAAUAC
rnacentral:rRNA from 1 species